AGUUUCAUUUGGUUCGCCGAGCUGCACGCAAGUUCCGAAGAACGAAUGCUGCCACCCCGUGUGUAAACCCACCACCUUUCCCAUUUCCCACUUCUGCCGUGUAAUAGUUAAAAAAAAGAGAGCAAAAAGGAGCAAAAAGUAAUAAGAGGCCAGCAGUGUGUCCGAGUGUGGCCCCGAAAAGCCUCAGGUUUUUGGUUUUUUUUUCGUAAUUUGAUUUCGGUGGGUAAAUGAUAAAGUGCACCGCUUGGUUAAAGUUGAAAAGCGAGUAAGGAAAAAAACAUAAAUGAAUGUCUUGUUAGUAAAGAAAAAGAUGGAAGUUUAAAUUAGUAAAGUGUUCGUGUGUGUGUGAGAAAGCAAGAGCAGUGAAAAGUUGCUUUUUUAAAAGCAAAGUGAUUAAAGUUUACAGUAACGUGUGCUUAUGACGGUGCUUCAGAUCUUCAGGUGAAAAUCAUACAAAAAUUCGAUGAACAGAAAAAAAGUGAUAAAGUGAUUAAAUGAUUUACUUCAGAGCAAGACAGCACAGCAUGACAGCUGUCAGUCAGGUCGCCACCUGUGUACUAUUCUGAACCAAUCAUACUAACAAUCGACGACCAAUUCCAAGAAGGAAUUGUGAAUAUAGCAGCGCGAGCAGUACGUAAAACCAUUACCGAUCCUCAAAUCCCACAAACCACGAACAAAUCGCGAAAACAGGCUUCAUCACCGUGAAAAUAAACCAAACAGGCUUUCACGACAAGCGGAUCCUCGAACGAGUACCUAGUGAAUAUCGAAACAAUCCCAAGUUCCCGCAGAAGCAGUUCCUCAAGCAAUCCUUUAGUUGUGGUUUAAAGCGAACCUACAGUGUGUGCUGAGUGGAAGUGAAAAGAAAAAACCUAUCAGGAAAAAAUUAAAUCCUAUCGAAAAAUAGUAAAAAAUUUAAGCAAAAAGUGUAUCAAAACUGUGGAAAAUUUUAUCAAUUUCCCCGUGUAGUAGUUUUUUGCGUUUCCUUACCGAAAUAAGCGAAACAGAAGUGUUGCGGUGAAGAUCCCCAUUUUUUUCUACGCUCAAUAAUGCCGAUCCACAGCAGAAUGAAAGAUCGAGCAAUUGUGUCAGUGUCAAAUCGACCCGUCAAAGAUAGUGCCACUAUCGUGCCGCAUCGUGCGUGCUGAGCACGAGGAAAGGAAAAAAGUGUGUCGUAUGUUGCUUUCGGAAAUUCACUUUUGCGACCGUGGAACCAGUGCAUGUGGUUUGUGCAUGGUUCAGGUGUGGAUGUGCGAGCGUGUCGGGUAUCACCUGUCGAUACAAGCUGUCCGGAACGGGGACGAGUGCCAGUGUGACCGUAAGUGCAAGAAAAACCAUGAAGAAAUCAACUGACAUGUGUCAUUACCGAUCAGCGAAGAAGUUUAAAUUAUUGCCCAAAAUCCGAGCCAGCCCAAGAUAUCGGGAGGCACCCUAGAGCGAAAGAUCGUGUUGUGUGACUGUGCGUUUACAGCUUAGCUUAGGUGGUGAUUUCAAUUGGUGUGUGUGUGUGUGUGUCCUUGUGCGAACGGAGGUAGACAGCUGGGGAGCUGCUGACGGCUCUACGCAAAGGUCAGACAAAACUCAGAAAUUUCAACUCGGAUCAAACAGGCGAAUAACCCGUAACGCCUUCGGGCGAAUUCGACAUCAGUAUUGCUGGCUUUGGAGGAUUGCCGGAAGAACGGGCGGACAACAGAACACCCUCCAGAAACCGAGAUCUCCGGCGCAGAAUAUAUCCUACCCAAGAGCGAGGAUCCCGUAAGGUACUCCUUCCCGUAGAGUACCGGCCAACAUUUAGCCUUUACCUACUCUCAAAACAAAACCCAACAAAAUACAUACCAGUCAAACUGACGAGACGCCAUGUACUUACGCAAAUGGAGUCCAGUAAAAUAUUUGAUGUACCUAUGGCUUGCAAUUCUGGUUUGGAUGUUCUCUCGGUGUGAUAGUGCCGCCACGAUGCAUCUGGCGCCACCGCCACCGUACCAUAGCAGCGGCUUCCAGGGCACACCCGGUGGCCACUCCAGUAGCAUUAGCAGCAGCAUUAGCAGCAGUAGCAGUAGUGGUAGAUAUGUUAGUGAUAGCAGUAAAACAACACCUAGCAUUAGUAGUCACACGCCCGCGACCGGGACGCACCAGGUGGAAAGUUUGGCCGGUGGUGCGAUACCGCCCCGGUUAGCGCACCCCCUACCGCUACUGCCAAGCGUGGCCACCGGGAAGAUUCCUGCCGAUGGAGUUUUGCAGCUGCUUCGGCGUACCAGUGCCAACACUCAAACGGUAGCGCACCGGGAGCAACCGGACCGGCACUUACCACCAAACCAAUCCUCGAACCAAAUGUUUCCGCCGUCCAGCACAGUGGUUGUUGACGGGGCGAUGGCCGGAUCGGCGGUUGUUCCGUCAGCCAUCGACAGCAGUAGUAUUAUUGGCAGUAGCUCCGACACUGCCGAACGAACGUUGCAACGGCAAUGGGCGGCCCAGAUGCGUCUGAAAGGUGAGCGUCGCCGACUGCAUCGGAGACGUUUGCGCACGUUGGCCGCAAGUCCGCUGGGCAAUCGGAACCGAAGAGAUUCGGCCCUACCGGGUGGGUACGGCGGUAGAUCACCGACGGCAACCGGCAAUCAACAGCAUCCGAUGCGGACCCAGCGAAGAAAUGGUACCGGGGGUGGACCGCGCCGGUACUGUUCGGCCCGUGAUCCGGCAACACUCGCGUUCGAGGCACCGAUCGUUUGUGAGGCGAAGGUCAAGUCGAUGAGCGAUCGGCGACCGACGUUUGCAGCGACGUUCGAGAUACUGGCGGUGCACAAGCAACCACCGAAGGGACGCCUGCAGAAAGGCCGUACCGUGCGGUUGCAGUUCAAUCUGACCACCACGAACGAGUGCGACAUCUUUCGGGGGAAGUUCCGCGAGCGGGGGUUUGUGCGCGAGGAGCUCGAGCUCGGUAAGGUGUACUUCCUGUUCCUGAAGCCAAACAUGGGCUACACCAACUUCACGAUCCUCGGUCAACCGAUACGCAAAACCAAACGGUCCGAGGGUGGAGUUGCGCAGGGCGUCAAUCCUAACUAUGGUACCCGACCAGUGAUCCAUUUCAUCACACCGAACGUGACACGCGUCGAGGGUAAGCGGGUACGGUUGGUGUGCAAAGUCGGCGGUAACCCACCGCCGAAGGUGGCCUGGUUCAAAGAUAAGCGGCUGAUCAACCGGAACGCCACCAAGUACACCCAAGUGCAUCUCAAGAGGCGGUCCGUGCUGAUCUUCAACGCCACCACGUCGGAUUCUGGAGAGUACGAGUGUCGGGCUAAAAAUAGAUAUAACAAUUCGUCCGUCUUCAACUCGACGCACGUUAAAAUUACCUUGCCAAAAUCGUCCAUUCCGGCGGUCUACUCGAGGACCUGCGCCGGCAGCCAUCGGGACGACUUUUGUCACAAUGGCGGCACUUGCUUCGACAUUGACACCCUCGGGGAGCUGGCUUGCUACUGUGCCAAGGGAUUUUCCGGCCAUCGGUGCGAAAACAAGGUCAGCGAGUUAAGUCCGGUCUUGUCGAACAAGCAGCAGGACUGUACAUCACAGCGAUACGCAGGUUAUUAUUGCUAAAGCUUUAUAACAUCAACAAAACCCCGAAACAAACGAACGAUACCAAGCAAUAGGAAAACUCCCUCCCCGAUUAACCACUCUGCGACCGGGCAGCAAACCGUGUGUAGAAGUGUGAGAUUCCGUUAGAAAGAGCCCAAAGGCGCCCCAAACCCCCUUGGGGGCCAAGAACCCUAACGUCAAAAAUCGAGUGUAGCUAAGAUAUUGGAGAGCUGAAAGCUUUUGUGUCGACGCAUUUGCUUGACGUGACAAUUCCGACCUCCAUCGCAGCGUCGGCACACCCAUCGAGCGAUCGUUCGGGCACUCGGGAGAUUUGUUCGCGCGUUGUGCAAAUUAGUCAGCGAAAAACCAAAAAUUAACACUAGUAGAACACUUCGUCUAGAUGCAGGGCCGAUGAACCGGUUCAUCAAAUAUCAGUUAGCCAACAGCAGCCAACGAAUCAUCCAACGACGGUGAGCUCUUCGACGGUCUCGUCGUUUAAGGAAGUCUUGUACAUAUAUAUAAAACAAAGCUAGUAAAGAGCUAUCGGGAGCCUAAUUAUGGACUUAAAUCAUCAAAGCGCAACCCUUCUUCUAUAUCCAACUCCAUCGCCCAAUUUGACUCAGUAGCAAAGAAAAAAAUGGGUUGGAUAGUUAAACGGGAGACGGUAGAAAUAACCUUGUGUUCUGCACAGGUGCACACACCAGGAGGACAAUAAACAACAAAAAAAACCGGGAGGGAAAACAUUACAAAAAAAAGCUAAAGAAAGAUGGAAAAAGAAAAGAAAACGAGGGGAAAAAACUGUGCACUAUGGGAAGAAAAGUUGAUAGUACAAAUUUGUGUAUAAUGUAUAAAGUGAAACUUAUUUAUUUGUUUUAUGUUUACGUAAAAGUGGUACGGCAGUGCGGUAGCCCCGAAAGAAAUCCGAACAAGCAAACUAGUAAUUAAUGACGGAAGCGCAACUAUGGAAGCAAAAUUAGUUUAAUUUUAGCAAACGAUAGAGCAACGAAAACAACACUCCUACUACUUUUUGUCGUCGGGCAGAAUAAAAGCAAACAGAUGAUUAAAACAAACGACAAAAAAACCGUGACGCAAAAAUAAAUUAAAAAGCCAAUCCCUGUACUUCAAUAGUAAAACGAAGGAAAUGCUUCAACCACAUUAACACUGAAUUAUUGCAAAAAUAAAAAAAAAAAAACAUUCCAGUUCUUGGUUGGAUACCGUCGUCGUGAGCUAGAAGCAAUCGAAAACACUAGAAAACGAAAGCUUUUAGAAGAAAAGUCAUAAAAAACCAAAUACACACACACAGACACAUUCACUAUUUCAACACACAUACAUCCACACAUUUAAUUGUUCUCAAUGGUAGUGUUUUUGUUUUAUAUGGCUAGCAGCGGAAGAAUUGGUGUUACGUAGCUUCUCUAGUUGGUUGGACACCAUUUUGUGUUUUUUAAUUACAUAAAUACAGUCUUUUGAAACAUUGUAGACUGUUCUGCACACACACACACACACAUAAGAUUUUUUUAUCGGAGUAAGGUAGUCCCAAAGUUGGCAAAUGGCAAACAAUUCAAUCACCAUAAUUAAGAUCGGUUUUGGAGUAACUGAUAAUACAGUCACUUCCCAACUUACGCGGAUAAUGGAGGACCAGAAAUUACAACUCGAAAUUAACUCGAAAAACCACACUUGACACAUCGCUCAUCGAAUGAUUCAAAAAAGGAAAUUUAAUCAAUCAUUUGGAAAAUAAAAUCUAAGAAUUUACCCAUAUCUAAUUGAUAAUCUAUUCCACUGUGCGUGUGACGUUUGAAAUUAAUUCAAAGCCCUACAAAUGUUUAGUCACUGGCAACGCAGAAUUUAACGGAUUUAUUGAACUCAAGAUUUAAAACCACAUAGUAAAUUCUGAAUGUUAUCUUUUAAUUGUUUUUAAAUCACGUAAACGGAAGUCCUGCGUAAGUUGAGAACUGACUGAAAUCAUAUAAUUUUUUUUAUUUGAAAUUAAUUUCUCUUUUAACUAUGCAAAGUUGUUUGCAGCAAAAAAAAGCUCAAGAAUAACAAGUUUUCGGGUGGUGUGUAGUAUCAGUUUUACUUCUGAAGAUUUUAUUCGAAACCAACCAAAGGACCUACGUAGAACGUUGUAAUUUCCGAAACGUUGGCCAUCUACUACUACUAAUUUCAAAGUAUAGAAGUCACACAUCAAACAAUAAUAACCUACGGGACAAAAAGAACUACGCACACAAAUCCACACUACUACAACAACCGCAAAGGAAGACGUGUGCAAUAUUUACAGUCUAUUACAUGCCCUCACAAAAAACUAAGGUGUUGGUUUUAAGGUGCUUUCCUUUGCUAUUUCAUCAAACCCUCUGUAGAAAGCCUUCUCCUUAACUGAAACGUCACAGUUCGCCCCGGAAGCAAAGGUGCCGCAAAACACUUACAAAAUUUUAAAUAAAUUGUUAACAAAAACAACCAUGUCGUUACCAGCACGCUGUUGUGGCACACGGACAUAGAAAAAAAUGACGGUUGAACGUUAAUGGACCGUAACGUGCGGCAGGAUCACACAACUGUUUUGACGGUUGACGUCCGUGCCCCGUAAGCACCAAAUUAGUUUGAUGUAGGGUGAGGUUCUGCAAGCGGCAGAAGAAUCCUUUAAAUUCAAUUACUUCUUACUGUAAAUAAAUAUGAAUCAUGAACUAGCAGAAUUGUGAUUCUCGUUCUUUUUUUCAACCUAACACAAAAGCACAUGAGUAUUAUAGAAAAGCGAACUGUUGCCAAUACGACUCCAUGCAAAAAAUUAAAAGAAAUUGUGAACGGCAUAGCUAGUCCUGUAAUGUUCUCUAUGUGUGUAGAGAGUGUCCUUAGCAAAAGUGGCUGAAAAAGUAAAGAGAGUGAAAAUGACAACAACACAACUGUACAGAGUAUUUGUUGCUUGCACUGUGGACGUUAUGGAUGUACGUUGGUGGCAAAAAAUUUAUCAAGGUGAAAAGUAGAAAUAUUGAACAAAAACUUUCGAGAGUGUGUAGAUAGUAUGGUUUUUGCUUUUCGUUGCAAGUGAAAAGAGUUAAAGCAAAUCGCCGAUUUUCUGAAGCAAGAAAUGCAACGCCACGUGCCUACAAUAAAACAGCAAAGGUAGAUAGAUCUACACAAUCAAACAAUCUCAUUUCUGGCUUGACUUCUUGUUUAAACCAUUGGGUUUGCAAAAACAAAAUGGCUACAAUCGAGGAUCACCAACGGAUCGGAUCGCCAACCUUUAUCUAGCCACUACCAAACGCAAAGAGCACCACGGGAAGUAACACGCUUUUCCGCAAGGACGCAACAGAAGACUGAUGCCAUGCUCAGAAUGGUUGCUCAAAGCUCAAAGACAGAGGCCACCGAAGGACGACUGUACACCGAAUGUAUGGACUUUGUCGUGAUGGAUUCGCCGGCACCGGCAAUGUACGAGUACGAUGAUGAUGAUAAUUAAGGUUCUUGUGAUAUGUGGGCCCCCCCUAAAAGGGAACUUUACGAUGGACUGGAGGACGUCAUUCGCGGACGGAUGCUAGGCCGUUAUACACACGUUCAAAUUCGACAUGCAUUACACAAACGCACAUACUUGUAGCACCACAAUAAUUGGCCAGUAAACUACUACUACUUCCCAUGCCAUGUACUGGGCGCGCCUGUCGCGGAACACUUCCGAAGCAGCAAGUGAGCCAGCAACUAGCCAGUAACGAUAUUAUCUCGGUGUGCUUUCGGUGUCAAAAUGAUAGUGAAGAAGAAUAUGGUACUGUAGAAUGUGGUGGUAUGCCUAUAAUGCUAAAAGCGAGCAAUGAAAAAAAAAACAAGUUCAGUUCUUUUAAUUGCCUUCAGGUAGGAACGCCACGCGCACUGAACGAUUACAGUACGACCCAACACAACAACACAUUUAAAAUACCAAAGAAUGUAUAUAGCUAAAGACAACGCGUUAAAUAAAUGGUAACAAUCGUGACAGAAAACAGCAAAUACAAAAAUUCAUUAUUUAAUCAAUGUCGCUAAGCAAUCCCCCAUCUGUUUUCUGUUAUUUGGACGACGUAAUGGGUUACGCUAAAAGUAAGCAAAUAAAUAAUAAAAUAAAUCGAAAAUAAAGUGUAUUUUAACUUAUAACUGUGCUUUAAGUAUUUAA